UGCACUUUCCCACCCCUGGUAAGCACGUCCGCGUUGCUAAAUUAUCACCCAGACGGUCCUUACUGUCAUUUUCCAAUAAAUAAAAAUAGAACGUUCAACGACGGACACCGACGUCCGGCUACGAUCACGAGGACGUUUCGGUGUCCGAAUCAAAACCGCGCCUUUUCCCAUCGCACGCCGGACGUGAACGCCGGACCUGACAAACGACAUGCAGUAGAUGCGUGAAAAUGACCAGACGUCAAGUGUUUAGAAGAAACGUUUUGUGAUGUAAUCAUGCACCAGCCAAUCAGAGGCAGACUGUACAUUUGAUCAGCAACCAUCUCCGACAGACCAGCACUUUUCCAGACGCCAAAACAUCCUUGUGUAGUCGACCUUAUCGGGACGCGUCCGUCUCGUCGUCCUCCGCCUCUUUCAUAUUUACACCUACAUCACCAUGACGAUGCGCUUUACAUCUAUACCUCAGGAAUUAAAAUCGGGGAAAGAAAAUCUUAUCGUUCCUUGCUAAUCUCUAUCAUUCGUUAUGUCUAAUAACUAAAGACAUCACAGCUCGUGUUUCAACGCGCACGUCUGGAGCGUAAGCGUGCGAGUGUGGUGUUCUUCCACACACGUCUCGGAACCUAAGCACUUGCAAAAAACAGCGAAAGUCACAUUAUAGUCCGUAUAAAACUGUGCAAAUUUUCAAUACAGUGAUUAAUAAGGUUAAAACGUGAGCCAUGGCUUUCGGUCCGAAGCAAAGGGCCGUCCCGCGUCGCACGAUCGACGGACGGGUGGCAAUCGUCUUCUUUUACUCUCUCUCUCGUGUAGUGAAUUAAACCGCCGUCCGAGUCGUGACCUCUGAAGCGCAAGAGUCGUUUAAAACGGCAGCGACGCUUCGAUAACGAUCAGUUAUUUAUUUAAAAUGACAGAAACACACAUGGACAAAUCACCAUGAUCUCAAUCUCACUGACUGAGGGAUCUCAUGGGGUGAAAAAAGCAAAAAAAAUAAAAUUAAAUUAAAAAAAAAGGUAAAAUAUAUCUGGAAAAACAAAUAUUAUGGUACAGUGCGUACGUGCGUCGCCGUAGUGUGUGGUGAACAUGUACAACAUUAGUAGUAGCACGUGUUGGACUGAGGCCGAAGCAACGGAGAGCCGACGGGACGAAUCUAGACGGGGGUGUCGAAACGAAAUAAGUGUGUGUGUGUGUGUAAAUUACCGGGGUGUGUCAAUAUCAAGACUCCGUCCAUUUAAAGCUUCGAAUUCCGGUUAUUUAAAAUGUUCAGUAUUCGAAUGCGCAUGAAUUCCACACUGGUAUGAGAUUAGCAAACAUUCACAUUCGUGUUGUGUUUGUAAAGCGUGAAGCGACCCGAUUAUACGUCGAGAUCCAAUCAGUCUGGGAGUCACAUUUAUUCGUUCAUUUACUGGCUGUAACAUUAGUUGGAUAUCUAGAGAUGGCACUGAUCCAAUAAAACAUGGAUAUGUUUGGAAAUAAUGGCAAAGAUUGGAACUGGAUUUGGAAAAUAAAUGUCAUUUUUGGAACUAUAUAUAUAUAUAUAUAUAUAUAUAUAUAUAUAUAUAUAUAUAUAUAUAUAUAUAUAUAUAAAAUAAACUCGACUGUUUUUUCUUUAGCUCGGGUUGAUUUUAUUGCACGUCAACUUUAUACUUGAAUGUAUUUGUAGCCAAGUGUCGUUUUUUUACGUGAGAGAGUUUAACUCUGAAGUGCGUCAGUUUAAAAAACAAAACAAAAAACAUUGUAAAGCGUAGUAGUUUUUAAAGAAGACGAUAUCGGACGGUAUCGGUAUCGGUAUCGGCCGACACUCGAGGUUUCAGGUAUGGUAUUGCACCAUCUCUAGUUUAGAAAAAAAAAAAAAUGUAAAUAAUAAUAAUAAUAAAUCAGUGGAGUUUUGGCGGUGAUCUCCUGAAAGACUGGCACUCCCGUCUUUCCCGACCUCAUGUGAAAAGAGCGAUUUGGCUAAAAUGCGUAGUCAGGUGUAUAAAAAUAAAAAACACCGGAUCUUAAAAUCCAUUUAACGAUCCGAACUCACGACGUCGGCGGCAUUCGGAAGUGAAAUCCCAAGCUGGUUUAACGUUUAAAAACGCUUGUUCUGUCCACGAUCCGAUGUUCCCCGGUACACCGGAUGUUAGGACACGUGCAAUCGUCCGAUUUCAGGAUGUCGCAAUAAUCUGAAGUGUUCACGACGUCCCCGGAAGUUAAGAUACAGGAUUAUUGGCACACGAACGUUCUAUAUUAAAAUCAUAGACGUCAAAUUCCUACCGUUUAAAAGCACUGGGUCAAAGAGUCUGGACUAAAUCCUCCGUCCCGCAUGAGAAUAAUACGGGUAUAAAUAACGCGGUCGGGAUCCGUACCGGGAGUUACACCAUCCCCUGGAGAUAAAUAUAGCAAUAAGACUUUUUUUUUUUUUUUUUUUUCCCGCCCCCGAGCUUUCAUUAGACUUGUUGAUUGGACGAGGUUUUGCGUGACGUAUCCUGCAUUAAGAAGCCGAGUGAAACUGUUCUUGGUCCUAUAAGGAGAACAUCUAUUACUCUAACUCUAGACGUCUAGACGUAACAAAACUCCACGUACUGCUCACUCGCUGCAUUCGGAAUAAAAUCUGGCGUUGGAAUGUGCAUCCGAUUCGAUUCGGUUUU
ensembl:lncRNA